AACUGUUGAGAUAUUCCAGGAGCAAAAAUCCAGGUUUUCGCAAUGAAAUUUCACAUGUAACAAAAGUAUCAUUUGAGUACUAAUGUUACCGAUAAUCUAUCUUUUUAGUCAUCAUUUAGCCUAAAUGAAAAAGCACUUCUCAACAUCUCAACAUUAAUGACUAACUAAAGCUAGACUGAUCAAUUUGAUGGCAAAAAUCAGCCUCAAGUUGAACAAUUUGACUAUCUUAUGAAGUUACAAAAUGGGCGCACUCAAUUAAGCUAUUCAAAUUAUUAAUUAUUGAGACUCCCCAACAACAUCACUUUAAGCUUUUUGCAUGUUGGGAAAAUAAAUCAUUUUAUUCCCAUUAACACUUGAGUUCAUCACGAACAAAUUAUCAUCAAAUGUACUCAUCAUACUUCUAGCUAAUAAAAGAUUAAUCGAUAACACAAUAAACGGUUAAAAUAGAUUAGCUAAACCUUGUCAUCAUUGUUCAAAAUCAACCUGCUUCAGAUCGCUUUGGACUUGCAAAAUUAUCAUGACAACCAAACCUUUCAACAGCCAACUUAACACGUGAACCUUAAAUACAUGAUUCAAUUGAGAAAAUUGAAACCAAAAUAAAUUUGUUAUUAAUGUAUUUCAAUUGACUAUGAAUUGCAAUAAACCUUCCAGUUAAUAGCAAAGUUAUCCAUUUGAAUAAUCCCUUUCACUCCUGAAAGUUGUUCACUUUUGUAACAAUAGGUGACACUACCUACUCUGGUAAAAACCGCCAUUCAAUUGCUGUAAAGCUUUUAGUUUUUAAUUUAAUUUAUUUUUUGAGUAUUUUAAUUUACUUUUGAAUGUUUACAGUGCUUUUGGUUUCAUCAAAAAUUAAAUUUUCAUUUAAUUAUGUCUAAAACAGUCAAGCAAUAGUUACAAUACAACAGUUGGAAUCAGCUAAAUUACAUAUUCCCAAUGAACCUGCUUCAGGCAAAUUGAUAUCGAGCUUAUGUUCGCAAUGGCAUGGUCAAGUUGAUAAUAUUGCUUUCUUAAUUAAACAAUUGGACCCAUCAUCAGUUAUUCGCAUUGCCCAUCAAUCUACAGCUGAUCUGUAUGACAUUUUUGAAAAAAAAACUUAUGCAGGAAGUGGAAAAGAAGAAAAAAGGAAAAUCAAGGAAUCAAUUAAUUUCACAUGGAUAUGGAAAUCCUAAUUCUCCAGUUUAACUUCCAUCAAGUGUUGAAUAUAUCGCUCCUGUUUCUACUCCAUAUUCAAUUCCAUCGACUACUGUUAAAUAUAUUCCUCCUGUGACUAGACCAUAUUCAACUAAAACGACUGCUGUUAAAGACACCAAGCAAUAUGAACCAACAAACACACCGAUGAUGCCAUGAAGGAAGCUCCUUUACUCUUUGGAUAGAUGGCUGUAGUUGCAUUGUCUCAACAAGAUCUUAAAAUCGCGGCUUAAAUUAAUAGCUGUUUUAUCAUCCAAUAUACUGGCAAUAUUGUGACAGUAAUUGUAACAUUGAGUAACUUCAACAAGUUAUACGUUUAUUGUGGCAUUAUUUUGUUGGCUCAAGAAUUAUAAACAAUUUAAUCGACUAAAUCAGCAAUUCAUAAUUUCCAAGAAUUACAAUUGUAACAAAGUACUUGAUGUAGACAAGGAUAAAUUGAGUGGUAAAUGUAGCAAUGCAUGAUAACCAGACGGAUCUCCAGUGAAAAUAUCUUAUUGGUAAUAAGAUAUUAGAUUAAUAUCAAAGGAUCAAGAAAUUGACGCUUUACUCCUUUGGACUCGCUUGUCUCAUGGUUAUUGGUCAUUACAAAGGAUAAAAGUUCAGAUAAAAAUCAGCUUUUUACAUUGUAUUUUUAUAUACAUUAUAUUGUUUGGUUAUCAGGUAAACCUGACUGGACAACAACUGAUCAAGUAUAAUCAAGUUAAUCAAUUGUAACAAUGAGUGGAAGACCAAAAAGUGACCAAAAAAAGCGACCAAGAAAAGAUCAAAAAAUGCUACUUUCCUCAUCCCCAAAGUACCCAUUGUGAUUGGGUUUAAUGCAUUUAAAGCGAGUGUUAAACGGGAUCAACGUUAACAACUUGAUGUUGGUGGUCAACUCAUUUCAAUCAAUUUUAUCAUCUUCAGAUGCUGCUGAUGUUGAUCAUGUUGAUGAUAAUCAUAACCCUGAUAAUCAACCAUGAUAAUCAUAAUCAACAUCUCAUCACGGAUAAAGAUCACACUAAGCUUUACCCAAGCAAAGGCCUUUUUUUGCCUCUCAAGUAAUACAAACCUCAAAAAAUCAAACUUGAUGUAAUCUUGAUACACUAACUCACAAUUCAACAUCUCCACUUUUUUAUCACCAAGUUAAUCAGUUAACAAUCAAUACCUCAACAUUGCCAUUGACAAUUAAAUUGAUUCAAAUUGAAUUGUUCAAAGUCAGGGGAGGAAAUGGCCACAAAAAAAACACCGUAAACAAUCAGUGCUAUUAUAUUAUUAAUGUUAACCUUUUAACUAUACAAAAUGAACACAUUUGUAUACACACGCAUUGGGACAGAUAUUAACUUUGAAACUCAAGUUAACCUGAUCCCAUAAUGUGUAUAACAAGAUCACAAUCAGACACACAAUACCAUUUCCUAAUAACUAAUCAAUAUUGAACAAAAGGCUAACGAUCAACUUAAUCAAAUGUCUUGGAUACGCUGGAAACAAAAAGGAUUCCCAACUCUUCCCAGGUCAAUCAAGAAAACCUUUAACCCCGCAAAAGCAAACGUCCAAGUCUGUGUGGAUAUUUUUUUAUACAUUCACUCUUGGUGGUAAGAAAGCGAACCAAAUUAAAACUAGAUUUAGACCAUAAUCAAGCCAAACCUUUUACCGUAACAAGAAAAGGCCGUUCGUCCCACUUCAACAAACGAUGGAAAUGAUGAUUAAAACUAACCUGUGGUUUAGUAUUUAACAAUUUACCAAAACCAAAGUUUCUUACUUUCAACCUUUCCAAAGGAUUUGCCAAUCAUUUGAUUCACCGAGAAAAAAAACCAAAUUCAAUAAACUUAACCAUCUUUUAGGUUUACCUUUUUUUUACCAAGAAAAGGCAUCAACAUGGCCAUAUUCAAACAAAGCAGGCAGAAAAAAAAACAAUUACUUGUAACAAAAAACUUCAAGACUGUACCUCACAUGUUGGUUACAAGAGUUGAUUGUUAUUAGACUUUUGGUGAGGCUUUACCUUACAUGAUGUGUGUUAGGCCUUUGCUGAUGAUGAUAACAUUUGCUUAUUUGUUUUCAAUUUACUUGUAUUAUUUGAACUGAUUGUUUUGUUGAUUGUAAAAUCUAAGCCCAGCGAAGUAAACAUGGAAAGCAUCUUGAGAUACAGUGAAAUACAGCUUCCAUGGUUAAAUUAAUUUUGCGUUUCGUGACCAAUACCGGUGUUCAAUUUUGGCUGCCUUUUUUUGUAAGCCAUAAUAAUGUAAUCAGUAAACUGUGAUAUUAAUAAUUAUAAUGAUAAUAAUGUAUAAACUUGUACAAUUGACUGUGUAUAUGUAUAAUUGAUUGUGGGCUGUACAAAUGUGUAUUUGUUUCAAAUAAGGUUUACUGGUUGUUGAUUUUUGUUUCUUACCUUCAUCUGAAAAAGCAAAGCAAGUUAAACAAUCAAUUUAUCACCAGUAAACUUGAAGAUAAAUUACAAAGUAACUAGCAACAAGUCCAACACGAUUGAUUAUUAAUCAAUGAGCUUAACUAACUUAAUAAAGCUUUUACAUCAUCAUAAACAUUAAGUGAAAAUACACUUGCGUAGCUGUAAGCCCAACGAAAAAAGGUAGAAAAUUGAAAAUGAACAAGAAACGUUCACUUUUACAUUUGUCGGACUUUAAGUGUAUACUAAAUCUGAUUGUAAUAACACAAAGCCAAGUGAAAAAAAGGAGCAAAACUUGUCCCUCACUAAUCAAUUGUAAGCCUUGAAUCUAUUUAAUUGAUUGUCCAAAUCAACUGUUACAAUGCUAUUUGAUGAUAAUAAUAAUAAUUUACAUUUUUGCUCGUCUUCUCAUCUCUCAAUUCCCAGAGUAACUUUCAUCUUGCCAUCAUCAACAUAUCAUCAUCUCAUCUCCUCCUUCAUACUCUCUUCGCUUCCCAUAUGAUGAUAAACUGUCCACAAUUGAAUAAAAU